rnacentral:rRNA from 1 species
GAACGCUGGCGGCGUGCUUAAUACAUGCAAGUCAACUGAACUUAAGAUAGCAAUAUUUAAGGGAGGUGGCGCACGGGUGAGUAACACGUAGGUAAUCUGCCUUUAGGUCUGACACAACCCCGAGAAAUCGGGGGCUAAUAUCAGAUGAUGCAGCGGCUCGACAUCGAGACAGUUGUUAAACCUUCGGGGCCUAAAGAUGAGCCUGCGUCUGAUUAGGUAGUUGGCGGAGUAAAAGCCCACCAAGCCUGCGAUCAGUAGCUGGUCUGAGAGGAUGAUCAGCCACACUGGAACUGAGACACGGUCCAGACUCCUACGGGAGGCAGCAGUAAGGAAUAUUGCUCAAUGGGGGCAACCCUGACGCAGCAACGCCGCGUGAGUGAGGAAGGUUUUCGGACCGUAAAGCUCUGUCGAGCGGGAAGAAAUGCAUGGUGGCUAAUAUCCAUCAUGCUUGACGGUACCGCUAAAGGAAGCACCGGCUAACUCCGUG